UACGGAGGGGGCUAGCGUUGUUCGGAAUUACUGGGCGUAAAGCGCGCGUAGGCGGACCUGCAAGUCGGGGGUGAAAGCCCGAGGCUCAACCUCGGAACUGCCUUCGAUACUGCGGGUCUCGAGUCCGGGAGAGGGUGAGUGGAACUCCGAGUGUAGAGGUGAAAUGCGUAGAUAUCUGGAGGAAUACCGGUGGCGAAGGCGGCAUCCUGGACCGACAUUGACGCUGAGGCGCGAAAGGCGUGGG
rnacentral:rRNA from 1 species